GUUUGAUCCUGGCUCAGAUUGAACGCUGGCGGCAUGCCUUACACAUGCAAGUCGAACGGUAACGCGGGGCAACCUGGCGACGAGUGGCGAACGGGUGAGUAAUAUAUCGGAACGUGCCCAGUAGUGGGGGAUAGCCCGGCGAAAGCCGGAUUAAUACCGCAUACGACCUAUGGGUGAAAGCGGGGGACUCGCAAGGGCCUCGCGCUAUUGGAGCGGCCGAUAUCAGAUUAGCUAGUUGGUGGGGUAAAGGCCUACCAAGGCGACGAUCUGUAGCUGGUCUGAGAGGACGACCAGCCACACUGGGACUGAGACACGGCCCAGACUCCCACGGGAGGCAGCAGAGGGGAAUUUUGGACAAUGGGCGCAAGCCUGAUCCAGCCAUGCCGCGUGUGGGAAGAAGGCCUUCGGGUUGUAAACCACUUUUGUCAGGGAAGAAACGGUCUGGUUUAAUAAACUGGAUUAAUGACGGUACCUGAAGAAUAAGCACCGGCUAACUACGUGCCAGCAGCCGCGGUAAUACGUAGGGUGCGAGCGUUAAUCGGAAUUACUGGGCGUAAAGCGUGCGCAGGCGGCUUUGCAAGACAGAUGUGAAAUCCCCGGGCUCAACCUGGGAACUGCAUUUGUGACUGCAAGGCUAGAGUACGGCAGAGGGGGAUGGAAUUCCGCGUGUAGCAGUGAAAUGCGUAGAUAUGCGGAGGAACACCGAUGGCGAAGGCAAUCCCCUGGGCCUGUACUGACGCUCAUGCACGAAAGCGUGGGGAGCAAACAGGAUUAGAUACCCUGGUAGUCCACGCCCUAAACGAUGUCAACUGGUUGUUGGGAGGGUUUCUUCUCAGUAACGAAGCUAACGCGUGAAGUUGACCGCCUGGGGAGUACGGCCGCAAGGUUAAAACUCAAAGGAAUUGACGGGGACCCGCACAAGCGGUGGAUGAUGUGGUUUAAUUCGAUGCAACGCGAAAAACCUUACCUACCCUUGACAUGUCUGGAAUCCUGGAGAGAUUUGGGAGUGCUCGAAAGAGAGCCAGAACACAGGUGCUGCAUGGCCGUCGUCAGCUCGUGUCGUGAGAUGUUGGGUUAAGUCCCGCAACGAGCGCAACCCUUAUCAUUAGUUGCUACGCAAGGGCACUCUAAUGAGACUGCCGGUGACAAACCGGAGGAAGGUGGGGAUGACGUCAGGUCAUCAUGGCCCUUAUGGGUAGGGCUACACACGUCAUACAAUGGCCGGUACAGAGGGCUGCCAACCCGCGAGGGGGAGCUAAUCUCAGAAAACCGGUCGUAGUCCGGAUCGCAGUCUGCAACUCGACUGCGUGAAGUCGGAAUCGCUAGUAAUCGCGGAUCAGCUUGCCGCGGUGAAUACGUUCCCGGGUCUUGUACACACCGCCCGUCACACCAUGGGAGCGGGUUCUGCCAGAAGUAGUUAGCCUAACCGCAAGGAGGGCGAUUACCACGGCAGGGUUCGUGACUGGGGUGAAGUCGG
rnacentral:rRNA from 1 species